AGGACGAACGCUGGCGGCGUGCUUAACACAUGCAAGUCGAGCGGAAAGGCCCUUCGGGGUACUCGAGCGGCGAACGGGUGAGUAACACGUGAGUAAUCUGCCUUCAGCUCUGGGAUAGCUCCGGGAAAACCGGGAUUAAUACCGGAUAUGACCACUUCGGACAUCUGUUGUGGUGGAAAGUUUUUCGGCUGGAGAUGAGCUCGCGGCCUAUCAGCUUGUUGGUGGGUAAUGGCCUACCAAGGCGACGACGGGUAGCCGGCCUGAGAGGGCGACCGGCCACACUGGGACUGAGACACGGCCCAGACUCCUACGGGAGGCAGCAGUGGGGAAUAUUGCGCAAUGGGCGGAAGCCUGACGCAGCGACGCCGCGUGGGGGAUGAAGGCCUUCGGGUUGUAAACCCCUUUCAGCAGGGACGAAGCGAAAGUGACGGUACCUGCAGAAGAAGCGCCGGCUAACUACGUGCCAGCAGCCGC
rnacentral:rRNA from 1 species